UACGGGGGUGAGCAAACGUUGUUCGGAAUCACUGGGCGUAAAGGGCGUGUAGGCGGCUGGAUAAGUGGGAUGUUAAAUCCCCCGGCUCAACCGGGGACCUGCAUCUCAUACUGUUCAGCUCGAGCACAUCAGAGGAGACUGGAAUUCCCGGUGUAGCGGUGAAAUGCGUAGAUAUCGGGAGGAACGCCGGUGGCGAAGGCGGGUCUCUGGGCCGAUACUGACGCUGAGGAGCGAAAGCGUGGGGAGCGAACAGG
rnacentral:rRNA from 1 species